GGGUGGGAGCCCGAGGCUGGAGGAGACCCGCGGCUGCUGCCUGCCUGGCAGCAGCUCACAGAGACCCGGGUUCUGCUGACUACUGGCGUCCGCGCUCGCUGGAUGGAUGGCUUCUCUGAAAACAUCAGCUCCGAGGAGAUCUUGAGAACAGGGGCCAGCCCUCGGCAGGCUCCUGUCCAGCCAGUCUCCUCCGAGAAAGGUGAAGCCAAAGCCCCAGGUGACAGCCAAGGAAGCAGGAAACAGGGCCUCCUCACCCCAACCCUCCAGAGGUCAAGGGGAGAAAGUGGACAACAGACAGGCCACAAGGUUACUUACAGCUAAGAAACAAGAGGUCUCCAAAAAUGAGGUACUAAAGCUCCAAAGAGGUGCCAGAAUUCCACUUUAACACUUCCUGACCAGGGGUGACGUGUGCGUGGCUCAGCCGGUUUAAGCGACAGACUACGGCUCAGGUCACGAUCUUGCGUUUUGUGGGUUCGAGCCCCACGCCGGGCUCUGUGCUGGCAGCUCAGA